UGUGGCACCAUCAAGAGCAGGGAGUACCCUGGUACUGGUGCCUCAGCCUUCCAAUUAGCUGGGAUUUCUGGUGGGCACCACCAUAAAUGGCUAAUUUUUGUAUUGUUAGUAGAGGCAGGGUUUCACCAUGUUGUCCAGGCUGGUCUUCAACUCCUGAAGUCAUGUGAUCUGCCUCCCUGGGCCUACUAAAGUGCUGGAAUUCCAGGUGUGAGACACUGGGCUGCCUCCAUGGAUUCUUUAAGUAAAGGUUGUUAGGAUUCAUCCAUCAGUCCAGUCUCCUAUAUAAAUUUCUCUAACCAUUCAUUGACCAUGAUAUAUGAUGAGAUAACUCGGUAUUGCAGCAAUGCUUCUGGAAAGCAGUUAGGGCAAUUUUUGAAGAUUUGGGAAAAAAGGUUUAAUUAUUUGCACUGAUUUAGGUAAGAGGAUACAUGAUUUAAGAUCUACCAGAUAAGGGAGACUUUGUACCAUGGAUCUGAAAAGCAGGCUCAUAUACUACUGAGGCAACCUAACCACGGGCCUGUUAGAACGUUCCUGUCAGAAUAUCACAUCCUUACACUGAGAAUAUUUUACGUCCUUGUGCUACGAAAGGACUCUGAUUUGGUCUUGUGUGAAGUACGAUUUCCUUAAUGUGACCUGCUCUUCUUAAUUUGUUUACAGAUGAUCGAGAAGAUCACGAUGAACAAAAAUACAGAGACAGCAAAAAUAAACUUCUUAUGAGUCAAGUGGCCUACUACCUGGCCUGCCGGCUGAGGAUGAAAGUCCCUGGCUUUCUGUAUUGUUACCCAAACAGCAGGGUGGAUUCCGGUAAACUUCCUUCCAGAAAAGACCCAGAGCUGAACGUUCCAGAAGCCAUUGAGAAAUCGUGCUCCCAGCGGGAAGAUAACAAACCGGAUGUUGGCGUCAAGAAAAAUGGAUGUCUUCUGAGUGAGGUGAACUACUCCCUGAACUACCGGCUGAGGACAUACGGUGAGUUCCAUAGGUUCACCUCCACAAAAGUGAUGAAUGAUGUCCUGCCUCGUCUCGAGAAACUGACCGCUCUCUUCCUAAAAGUUAAUCUCGUCUUUCCCGUACUCCUAGAAAAUAGAAAUGGGUGUUUUACCAUUUGGUUAAAGAUGGAAGACAGAGGCCAAAGUGUUUAGCAACUUUUCCGUGUCUGCAGUAAGGUGGGUGUGGGACUGGGGUUGCAAUCCCAGCUAUGGAUUUCUGACGCAGGCACGGAACCCCCU
rnacentral:lncRNA from 13 species